UCCCAUGUGGCUCAGUUGGUAGAGCAUGGUCUUUGCAACGCCAGGGUUGUGGGUUCGAUUCCCACGGGGGAC
rnacentral:tRNA from 1 species